rnacentral:lncRNA from 1 species
AUGGGCGGGUUCGAUCUGCAGGUGAAGGAGCGGACCAAGGAGCUGAAGCACCUCAAGGCCGCGGCGAUGAGGGGCAUCAAGGCGGCCGGCGAGUCGUGCAAGAAGGCGUGGAGCAAAGUCAGGAGCAGCAUCAGGCGCUAGGGCGUCGAGUUCGCGAGGCCAUCCCCAUGGAUGAACUCUAGUGUGGUUUUUCUGAGUUUUGAAUGUGGUUUUGGUCUUGUUGGAUCUAUUUAUUUGAGCGACUUGAUGUGAAAAUAGUCUGUGGCUCUGUGCGUAACUGCGUAUGGCUCGUAUUUAUCUUUUGUUCGCCCCUUGUGCGUGAUUUUCUUCAUGCUCUUCUUGCGGUGGCGAACUUUGCAGAUAGCGAUAGAUCUAUUACCGCCGAUGGAUUCUCCGUUCAUCUCGCACUGAGAAGUAUGCGUAUGCGGAGAAUUUCAACGUCUUCAAACAAGCCAUAGCCACCGUAGGUGUCGAUGAUCCGCAACACCUGAUCAUCGUGGAACCUUCCUUCUCCCACCAUCACUAUCGAGGCUCCGAAAUCACGAUGUGCAUCUAUCUCAGAGAAAUCAAAGCAGUUAGCACCAGUUAUUAGUCGUUAGCCUGCUUUUGACUGGCAGCGCUGAAACAAACCGGAAGAUCUGCCACGAAUGAUCGCAUACAAACUUAGGGAGAGCUGAGAGCAGGAAGGACUAUAAAUGCUUCGAACCCAGGUUUCAAGCUGCAAAGGGCUUAAGCCUGCUGUAUCACCGCGAGAACUCGUGGACUGUUAGACGUAAAGGUAUUUCUCCCACUUUUACAGAGCCCGUUGGUGAAAAAUACUCCUCCAACACAAAGCCUCUCCAGCCGCAACAAGGGACAAUCAAUCGAGUUAGCUUAUUUUAGAAAGCUUUUCAAGGUGCUACGGGAAAGCUCUCUUUUGGCCACUGAGUAGGAGCAGGUAUUCAAACAACUUUACAGAAAACGAAUCGUUUGCCUGACGAUUCAAAGAAAGAAAUUGGCAGUCCGGACGGAUCCUAAUUCAUGCUGACAUCUGGUGCCGUUUACGCAGGCUGCUCGUGCGGAACGACAAGGCUCAAGCGUACCGGACAGCCAGGUCCAAGAAUAACGCAAAAGAAGAGAGCACACAGCAUGUGAAGAACGACGAGGGUAGCUUGCAAGAGCAUGUGAGACAACCUAUAACAAACAUUUAAAAUCCAGCACGCAGGGUAGAGCAUGUGAAAACUGAGAGUAGCUGGAAUUCAAAAUUCUGCUGAUACAAUUAGCUACAUAAAAAACUUGGUAACAAACAGCAGUUCAAUAUGCUAGGCAUGCUCUUCCUACAGGUCCAUGAGGAAUAACUGCAGGGAAUUAGGCUCUGCACAGGGCCGACUACUGCAAAGGAGCAUCAGGAUCCAAUCUUUUUUGGAUUGCAGCUGCAGCCUGAUAACGAAAAAGAUUUGCUAAGCUAUAGGAGUAUCUGUUAACCCAUUAGAUCAGGCUUGCAAGUUGAGAAAGAAAGAACAUACCUGAAAAUUGCCCAGCCUGUACUGAUAGUUCAUUUCCUCGCGUAGACGGGCCUGCUCCUUCAUGUCUUGAGCCUAAGAGCGAGUAAAACACAAGAUAAUCACAGGUUAAUUCGCUUUCAGUUACUAUGUCCUAGUACUACUGUAAUGUUUCCACAUCAAUAUCCUUAUCAGAAAAAUAAUCUAGAGAUAGAUAAAUACAUUAUUUACUAGAACAUGUAUUAGUAUUAUAACACAUGGAUUGAAUAAGAAGAGAAAAAUAAACUCAUGCCACCUUGGAAUCAAGUAUUAAACAAUAAGGUCCAAAACAGUACUUGACGCUAAAUUCAUUUCAGGUAAGGAAUGGACAUAACUAGGUGACUAGGAUACAAUGAAAGAUCUUAAAAGGUAGUACAUUUGUACACAAUGGACAGGGAUGCCUGUGCAAUCAAACUUGGUGGUUGGACACAAGUAUAGAUGUCAACUACAAAGUCUUCGUAUACUAAUUCAGAGAAAGCGCUGUUAUGUGCUGACAUUUUAUUUGAUCUAAUUCAGAGAAAGCGCUGUUAUGUGCUGACAUUUUAUUUGAUCGCUUCGGUCACAUAGUGCAUUCUCAGUCCAUUGCACAUUACUUAUAAAUAACUAUUCUCUUUGGGGGGCUUGGGCAUUACACAUGACACUACAGUAACUGUUUGUAGACCGUAUCGACUUAAUGCUGGAUCAUGGUUUUAAACUAAUAGCAAAACCUUCAUGAGCAUUGUAGUAUUUAAUUGAUGUUUCAAGGAUAAAUUCAUAAAUCGAGACAGACAAAAGAAACGCAAAAUUAAUCUAACCAGUCCAGCUUGCAUAGAGCGUUUUAAAGCUUCCACUUCUUCCUCCUUUCGUCGUUCACGUUCCUUCAACAAUUCUAACCUGCAUGAUUAAAAAAAGUUAAAAAAAGGAACUGCUCAACGCAUAAUAGACUCCAAAUCGAAUUAAAUACAAGUGUUUUUAAAUAUUCCCAUCAUAGAACAUGCAAAAAUGUUUGUGUAAAGAUAACAGCAAACAGAAUGAUAAUUGUUGCACCAUGUUUUUUUAAAAAUUACAUGGAUAAUAUUGUAGAAAAAACAACAAAACAAAUUCACGUUUGCACACCUUCGCUGUUCCUCAUCAUUAAAUAUUGUACGUUCUGUCACUGAGGUCUUUAAACCCUUCUUUGUCUCUUUCUCCAUUGCUUUGCGAUGAUAAGCAUCUAAAUUAUAAUAUCUGAAAGAUAACAGAAAUAGAUAAAUGUUAAAUCCCUAUUCUGAACUCGCCAUCUAAUUCAAAGUUAUACAUAGAAGACAAAAUCCAUUACUUUUUCGAUGGGAAAGUGGCUGUGUUGUGAUCCUCCAUGAACCUGAGAUGCAGACACCAUAUGUUAAACACCCUUGGAAAAUCAAGGAUACAGUAGGAAAUAUAGUACAUCAGAGGGUCAUGUAAUUAUUCAAGUGACCUCAAAACAGUAGAGUAACUUACGCCUUGAACAUUUGCUUCUCUUCCCAGUUUGACAAUGCUUCCAAAUUAACCUGUGGCCACAUUAAAAAGAAAACUAAAUUGAACAACUGGAUUACUUUGGUUUUAGAUUUUAACAUAGACCUCCAUCCAUGCCUCACUGUGUGUAUUAACAUGUACAAAACGAAAAAGAAAUAUACCUGCUUGACUUCUGAUAACCAUGCAGUGAACUCUGGUCGCUUGCUCCUACAAAACACUUUGCACAAUUAAUUUAUAGAAAUGUGGUAGAAAUAAUUUGGUAUUUCAUAUGUAAUUAUUUACAGCCUGCUCGGUACAGAGGCUACGGCUGCGCUGCAGCUGCAACAGCUGAUACAGCAACUGACUGCUGCUAUUUGAGCCUGCAGCCGCUCAAUAAGCUGCAGCGAGCAUAGAUACAACAUGGUGUUGAAAUGUUGGAUUAAGCAAGCAAAGUCCCACAUAACAUAUAGCACUGAAUAGUAGUAUAGAACUGUUUAUAAGUAAAUUGGAUAUGUGGAUGUAGAAACAUUUCUAAAAAUUUUCUACGCUUAGUGUCCCUAUGAACUUUGAAAGGUGAACUCGCAAAAUCUGCAUGAAAUCUAAGUAGAAUAGGAGCUUCAUAAACUCUAAAGAUACUAACGAGCAUUCCAGUAAUGUUGAAUUAUAUCUCAUCUUCACUUUUAGUAAAGGGAGACAACAUUUGUAUAUUUCACAUUGAAUUAUACAGUGACACACGAACAACAAAGUACAACUGAAAAUUUUGAUGCAAAUUCAUAGCUUAAUAUGCCAAACCCUGAGUUUCAAAUGAAGCACUCACCACAUGUCGACCUCACGGAUGAUACCAUACUUCCCCCACGAGUUGGUCACGGCGCCCUUCUUCCCCAAAUCCUUCUUCUCCUCCUUCCUCUUCUUCUUCUUCUCCUUCCUCCUCCUCUCCCUCUCCUUUUCCUUCUCCUUCCUCUUCCGCCUCUCCUUCUCCUUCCUCCUCCGCCUCCUCUCCUCCUCCUCCCUCUCCUUCCUCCUCUUCCGCCGCUGCCUCCGCCUCUCCUCCUCCGAAUCCAAGUCCGACUCGCUCUCUGACUCCGCGCUGGACCUCGAGUACGAUGACUCGGACUCCGACUCCGAAGACGAGCCGGAGCUCUCGCUGCGGCUCCGGCUCCGACGCCGGCGCCGCCUCUCCUUCUCCUUCCUUCGCCGCUCGCCUGAGUCCUCACCGGAGCUCUCACUCCCCUCCUCCUCCUCCUCCUCCCGACGCUUCGACUUGCCGCGGUGGCCCCGGUCCCGACUCCCCUUCGAGCGCUCGUCCCUGUCGGCUUCUACCGACUUGCUGCCGCUGCGGGCCUCCUCCUCCUCCUCGCCUCGACCAUCACGGGGCGAGCCGUUCUGGUCCUUCGCCAUGGCGUCGCGUGACUAGGGUUUCGCGCCUCGCGGAUGCGAGAAGGGAGGUGGCGAGGGCGAGACAGAUCGGCUCGCGAGAGAACCGCGAGCGGUGGCGGCCGGGGACUGGGCGGGCGGGGAGAGAGAGGACGAAGUGGCUUGGUGCCUUGGCCCUUGGUGGCGUACGCCUAUUUUCCCCGUGUUCACUGACAGGUAGGUCCGUCUUUAUCAAACAGUUUUGUGGCCCCACAAUUCGGUCUCUGAUACCUCUGACUUCUGUACACGUCUCCAACUUCGCGACCCGUCUCCCUCUCGCGCUCGCGCCCACCUCGCCGCCCGAUCCGACGCGCCGACGCCGCCCGCCGCCGAUCCAGUGCGACGCAGUCGGCGCUUCCUGCCGCCCGCUGCGCUUGCAUCGUGCGAGCGGCGCAUCUCGCAGGCUCACGAGCACCCGUGGAUCUGACCGGAGGAGGCCGCGGCUGCUGCUGCUGCUGCCUCGGCGAUGUCGAGGGUUCGGGACAGAACGGAGGAUUUCAAAGAGGCCGUCCGCGUCGCCGCGCUCUCCCAUGGCUACACGGAGGUAAGCUCCAGCCCAGCCUCACCAGCCCCUUCCCCUCAGCGUACGGACGAAAGCCGAAUGAUCCCCAAUUCGUCUCGCUCCGUUGUGUUGCUGUGCAGGCCCAGCUGGCCGCGCUCACGUCGUCUUUCAUCAUCCGGAAGCCGUCCCCCAAGUCGCCAUUCACUAAUGCCGCGAUCAAGACGGUAGGAGUCUGUGGUGAAUGUGUUCAUGUGUUGUGGUGUGGUGAGGCAGGUUUCGUCAGUGAUUGAUGAUGGGUUGUGUCGAAUUGCAGCUUGAGAGUAUCAGGGAACUGGAGAGGUUCAUAGUGAAGCACAGAAGAGACUAUGUGGACCUGCAUCGCACCACGGAGCAAGAGAGGGACAACAUCGAACAUGAAGUAAGUUUCACGCUGUCUGCGGUUGUUUGUUUUGAUUUGCCAUUGGUUCUCAUAUGAUGAUGCAGGUAAGAAACCUAAAAUGUCUCUGUUACUCGGCAACCUGUAUGCUUAAUGACCGCAAGUCAUUUCUUGUGUUCAUAAAAAACUUCAGCUAGUGGGUUGUUUGACAUUAUUACAAAAGAUACAUGUUGCUGUACGGUACAAUAGUUUGCCAAAUAUUAUUUUCAUAAUUGUGCAAAUCCAGUCUCGGACUAAGUUUAUUGAAGACCAUGGCCGUAAAAAUUGUUGAACAGCAUACAUAGAUAUGGCAGUGAUUCAUCCUCUUUGAUGCUCGCACAUUCAGGUUAGGUAGAUUGUUCAGCUUUCUCUUCAUUCUAUUAAACUAUGUUUGGACAUAGUGAUGGGCAUUCCUUGUAUAUGCACCAUCCUAUAUUCCUUUUGGUCCACAAUGUAUUGAUUCAUGUAAUAUUAGGCUGUUGCUUUCUGUUUUUCAAUUUAGUACCUAUGUCUAAUUACUAAAUGUACAUUAGGUUGGUGUUUUUGUAAAAGCAUGCAAGGAACAGAUUGAUAUCCUAAAGAACAGGAUCCAUGAAGAAGAGAAAAAUGGAGGUGCAAAGACAUGGCUUGGCACUAGGGAUGCGAGUUCCCGUUUGGACUUGAUAGCUCAUCAGCAUGGUGUGGUAUGGUUGUUUUCAUCACCAUUGGUGUUAUAUAAGCUUUGGAUGUUCUGCUGCAUUAAUUUGUUUUUUGAGGGUAUGAUAAAGAAAUAGGUAGCAGAAGAAUAUGUUUUUGGGCAGCAUUUGUGAUCUGAAUGUGUUCCAUUCAGAGAAUUAGACCAAGUAAUUCCUUAGGGAUUACUUGUGACGCUUUUGAUGAGCAAAGAUGUUCUUUCAUUAGAACCAGCUUGCUUAAUAGAUUAAAUCAUCCUGUUGAGGAUUGAUUGUUUCCACAUUUCCUUUCCAAAUAUUUAAGUUGGUUGUAUAUUCUAUGAGUUGGUGGCAGGAUAUCAAACCUCCAUCAUUAGAUAUCAUUUGAUAGAACAAAAAAUAUUAUGCUGCUUGAUUUGUAGAGGACAGCCAGUUGUAACAAGUGAAUUUGAAUAAUAUCUAGUUCAAGUUUCUUGUUCAGAGCUGCAUAAGUGCAUCAUUCAGGCAAACACAUUGGUGUGUUUUUCUUUAUUAUUUUUUUCUAUAUCCAAAUUGUAAGUAGCAGUCAAGCAUCAGUUUCUGAACUACCCUGUUUGGCAGUAGUUUAGGGAUUUUAUGUCCAUCUACACUCUACAGCAAACUGAUCGUGUUGUCUACAAUUUUACCAGGUUCUAAUUUUGAGUGAGCGUCUCCACUCGGUAACUGCACAGUUUGAUCGUCUUCGUUCCAUGCGUUUUCAAGACGCUAUUAAUAGAGCAAUGCCUAGGAAGAAAAUUCAGAAGAAACCAGAAAUCAAACCUGCUGAACCAUCCAAGUCUAAUCUUGUUCUAAAAUCUGAUGUAUCAAAGAUUGGGGAUCAGGAAGUAUCUACUGCACCCAUGAGGGUUCAAGAACAACUAUUGGAUGAUGAAACAAGAGCUCUCCAGGUAAUAUGGUAUACAAAUUAUGUACAAGUGAAAAACUUGUCUAUUUUACUUAAAACUACCAUGCAUUUACAUCCUAAAACUCUUCUCAGGUGGAGUUGACAAGCCUUCUUGAUGCUGUCCAAGAAACUGAGACAAAGAUGAUGGAAAUGUCAGCACUUAAUCAUCUUAUGUCAACGCAUGUUCUACAACAAGCUCAACAAAUUCAGUAUUUAUAUGACCAGGUAGAAGAUUUUAAUAAGCUUGUUCUACCAGUUUAUAUGCAGUACAUGCUGAACUUGUGCUUUCAUAUUUGUACAUAUAGAAUGUCAGAAUCUACCCAAAAAAUGGAUAAUUCACACAUGAAGCGAGUCCACGAAAGAGCUUCUUAACAGUGUCUAGAAUUAAAUCAUUUGUCUCCAUCCACUGGACUAUUAAGGAUCUGUGAAGUUUGUGCUCCCGUGUUUAGAGUACCAUCCCUAGGUACGUUGCUGUAAGACAUAUACUUGAUGACCGAUCAACUGUUAAGUGUGAUAUUUUGUGUGUGUCCACAGGUUCCGAUUUUUCCUUUAACUGGAAGAACCCAUAACUCAGAUAAGCACUAUAUGAAACCUGAUUGUUAUCUGUAUACCAUCAUAGAACAUCUUUGCAUUAUUUCAGGCUGUUGAAGCUACGAAUAAUGUGGAGCGCGGGAACAAGGAGCUAUCCCAGGCAAUCCAGCGCAACAGCAGCAGUAGAACCUUUCUCCUCCUCUUCUUCUUUGUUCUCACUUUCUCUGUUCUUUUUCUUGACUGGUACAACAACUGAAUUAGCACAUGAAGACAUUGUAAUUGUUUUGUUCAUGCGAAAUGAUCACAUUACCAAAAACCAUCUGCCUCUCUAAAGUCUAAACUGACCUUUUAGCCACUCUGGAUUACUUCCCAACCGUAUUGUUCACUGUGCUCUCUAUCUGAAUUUGCUGGGAUUUUUAGUUUCAUUUUAAGUGUGCAAAUGUACUAAAGAUGUGGGCACUGUACUGGGUCUGUGUAAAUUUGGUCGUGUACAUGAACGAGACGUAAAGAUGCCGUUUGGAGCUUUCAAUCACUUGUAGAUAGGCAAGUUCCGACGUCUGUCUGCAGAAUGUAUUAGCAUAACUUGGCCAUCCAUUUCUUACUAAUCAGACCAUUACCGGAAUCUCAACAGCGUGGGCGUGCAGCGUACCUUAAAAGUAAUCAAGCACUGUCUCCAUGGCUCUUCCUGUUAGCUUUGAAGCAAACUAUAAUUGCUUCGAUCACAGCCUCACACAGAACAAAGGUGCAUCUGAUUGUGAAAUUGCAAUGUCCUCAGAUGCAUGAUGCAUCACACACAACAAAAAAUGCAUCUGAUUGUGAAAUUGAAAUGUGCAUUUUAAUAUGUAUUUUAGAAUGGGGAGUAAAGUGGACACAGGACAGACAUUGGUAGCCAAACAUCAUUUUCGAUUUAUAUACAAAAUACAAAAUCAAAGAGCCCUUGGCAGUGACACCGACCAGUGAACAGCAUGAUGCUAACUAAUCAUGCCGAUAGGUAAGGUACGGAACUUAACAAGCCGAUGGUGACAGGCCGGCCAGGGAAGCAAGAAAAAGGCAACAGCUCCUGACAUCAAGAAGUAUGAACUAUGCAUUCCACCUCCAUGUCUGUCAUAUUACAACUCUAUACCAGCAUGCUUACGCACAUGCUUAUCGACACAGACCAUUACCCUCUUCACUAUACGCAUCAUCCAUUAGUAUCCCCCCUCCCACUUUCGAUAUCUACAGAUAGGUGCACAGAACACAGUUUUGUCUCAGAACAAGAGCAAGCACAGCACCACGAACACGAAGAGGAAGAACCAGAUCUGGUGCAGGGACCUCUCGAUCUCCAGGUGCCGCCUCUGCCUGGGGUUCACGUUCUGUGCAGCGACAUGGUAAGGGCUCGUGUAGUACAAGCUUGCAGGCAGCUGGCCACGGAGCACUAACGGGAGCACGGCCUCCGCCAUCCCUCCAAGCACCCCUCCAGCAGUUGAGUGGAUCAAGCCACGUCCUAGUGGUGCAGGAGGGUAGAUGAAGUCGAACCCAGCGGGAUUGGGACGGUAGUGUGCGUGCUGCAAUGGCUGAUGCAGAGGGUUGGCUUCCAUGCUCUGGUGGUGUUGCUGGUCAUCGACAGUGCUCUGUGCGUUCUGAUGCUCAACUGUCUCCCGGUGCACCAUGGGACGGCGCGGGAUGGCCACACCAUUCAGUGAUUUCUUCGAGCUCCCUCCACGGCCAUAUAGUGGCACUAGCGUGUCUGGGGAGAGUGUUGCCUUACAUACAGGACACUGCCGCCUUGCUGAACUGCUGUUGUCGCUGGCAGUCGACUCCACCCCUGGGCGCAGCCAUUCAUAGAUACAAGGCCAGCAGUAGAGGUGACCGCAGAGGGUAACCACAGGUUCUGCUGCAAAAUCAAGGCAAAUGUUGCAGUCGAAGCAUCCGCUUCCCAUUGUCGUAGGCAUGUCCCCGCUGGAUUUCUUCACUGCUUCAACAUCAGCCACCAAAGGCUGGCUAUUGAUAGCAGCCAUGCAAGGCUGAUCCAUUCUCCCAGCUUCCAUGACAAUCAAGAUACUUGCUCUUGAAAACUGAUUUGGUUCAGUUACUGACACUACUGCAGUAGACAAAAGAAAUCAACGGAGGUCAGUAAGAAUAAAUACGAUUGAUAAAGCAACACAUAAAAUGGGCCAUAGCUUUGCACAAAAUGAUGAGGGGUGUUAAAGCAUUGGAAACGUUCAUAAUGUGCAGAUACCUACCUAACCAUGCGGGAGGACUAUAAAAAUACAAGCCAUAAGAUUGGAAGCAACAAAGCAAACCACAUGUCAAUCUCUAGCUUUUAAGAUAUGUGCAAUUCUGCAGCAGACGCGGAACUAGGUGUACAGACAACAGACAUAACAGAGUAUUGCAUGUGACAACUGAAGCAAACAAUGUAAAUCUCCAAAACAUGUUAAGAAGCCAGAAACUUUGCCACUUAAGCUAGUUAUGCUUGCACUAAAGAAUCUAUCAUCUUUCCUUGCAGCAUGAGUCAGUAGUCAUGGAUUCUCCAAUAUGUAAGUACCGGGGACUACAUCUGCCGCGUUUUGUUUUUGUCCCCUUUGUUAUGGUUAUCCCUGUGCUACUUUUCUAUUCCAUUGACAUUUUUAUCCAUGAAGAUAUCUAUCAGAAGUUAGGAAAGUUAUGUCAGCAAGGGAACGAAACUGCUUGCUUUAUCUCCAAGGUGUGCAACGGCAAAAUAUUGACUCCAGGUCUUGGCCCCAUGUUCAAUGCAAGGGCCAUCACUGCCAGCUCAAAAUUGCCUUGGGAAGAAAAUAGAAAACAAUUUUUGUUUUAAAAAGGCACACCCUGCAGCUUGCAAACGUAGACUUGACAGGGCUGGGGUACUGAGCAGAUUGACGCUGAUCCUAACAAAUUAUAUAUUCAGAUAAGGGAUGGGGAAGACCAAAAGGGCAGAGUUGAAUAAACAAAGGAAUGUAUGAGAUAGGCUAAAGGCAUCCGUCCUAAUCUCCGAUAUAUGCUUGCGGUGACAAAUUGAUUUUUUUUUUGGUGGUUGUGGAGCUUCUUUGAAAGGCUAUGUUGUUGUUGUUGUUGUGGAGCUUCUUCCAAAGGAGAAUCAUUGAAAAACAACAAUAUGUGGGGGUAUUGAUGUGGACUGCAACAAUGAUGGAGUAGCUACAACACUUGGCAUAUUCUAUGGAACCAAACACACUGAAAAGAUGAUCGCUUAACAUAUCUAGUUAUCAACAAAAAUAAGAAUAACCCAGUGAUAAUUGCACCCACUGCAUCAGGAUCAGGAAACAAAGAAUGGCAUUCCCAACAGCUUCGUGGAAAUUUCUUAAUCACUCUGGCCCCAUAUGUACCACGAAUAUUAUUUUUGUACUAGUAAAGCUUCUGCAAGUCUUUUCUAAGUUAAAACACGCCUUAAUUACAUUAAGUACCUACAGAUGAGGCUCAAAGACAUCAUCUCCCUACAGUUUUAGUUUGGUUUCGUGGCUCAUGACUAGCCUAAUAGAUACACGCAGUAAGAGUCGAUAUUGAAGAUGAAGGGUGUGCCUGACCAGGACAAGCUGUGAAACUCCAGAAAUAAACAAGCUUCUAAGUUUGACCCGUAUGAGAUACCAUACUAUGGAUUUUAAGCGCAUUUCCGCGGUAGUUGAUCUAAUUUAGGCGUCCCAGCAAAUCAGGUGCUGUACACACUAAAGCUACAACAGAACCAAGAACAAAGAACCAUAUUGUUCCCCCUCUCCAAUCUAUCUAUAACACAGAACGAUCAACUCAUAAUGGAUACUAGGUCUCAAAAAACAAUUACAUGGGUACUGAACAUACGCACCUUCAAGAGCAAUUUCUCCAGGCUCAGGUAUCAAACACUAUCACCAAGCAAAGUCCCAAAUUGACGCUACUUUCCAACCCCAGGAACAAGGGGCGGACCAAACAUUUUUUGGAAAAUAAUCUAGGAUAGGCGGCACUCCACCAGCAGCAAACCAAUCCCUCCCCAACCACGAAUGCCUCUCUCACUUGUCGUAGGAGGAGGAGGGUGGACGGAUUGGAGAAUCCGUCCUAGAAAGGAAGGUUGGGAUUUGAUUUCUUGAAAUACAAGAAAGGGCGAGACCAGAGCAAAACAACUAACUCUCGGAGCAAUCCAACAAAUCAUUAUACCAGACAAAACAAAGAGCAAUCCGUGCAAGCAAGACAGACAGACAGGAUUCCUUACCAGCAGAGGAAGAAACCAACCCGAGCUCGGGUGGAUCUGCCCUCCACGGGAGUCCAGCACCACCAGCGAGGAUAAUGAUGUUGACGACGAGGACGACGGUGACGCAGGAAUUUGACGCGACGCGCCUCGGUGGAAGAGAGGCCUGGGGAGAUGGGUUCGGCGGCGCGAGGUCAGGCGAGGACGGGGUUGGUGCGGCGGUGGCGUGAGCCGUGAGCCCGCGGCAGCGCCUCGCGCGACGAACGCGGGAGCGGGGAGGAGGAUGCGGCGGCGGCCCGGCGGGCGGCGAGGUCAAUUUGGUUGUAAUGAGGAGGAGGAGGGAAGGUAGGAGGAGGAGCAGGCAGGGCCGAUGAUGAGAGGAGAAGACCACCCAGGUUCAGGAGGAGCAUUUCGGGGGAGGUUGCUCCCGUCGGGAGAUAUAUAACGACGAGUGGGGGAAUUCGGUGGGGAAUAGACGGUGAGGAUGGGCUUUUAAAACUGAUCGGUCGCCUCCGGGUGAUCCGUGCUCCGGAAAGCUAAUUAAGCACCCCCGUGCGUUGUUGAAAGCAUGCCUUAUUUUGAGACCACCAUAAAGCACGCUGCCCACCUCGCUCGAACACGUCAAGGUAUGUUGCGGGAGCUGCGUGGCAUCUGGUCACAAUUUGGCUACGAUGGCAAAUGAAAGUAUCGAAAUACCCCUAGCACUAGCAGGCUUAUAGCCGUGUGCAGUGUGCUACCGUGUGCUGCUUACAUCUCACACCGUCGACGUCACGACUUUUUUUUUUUGGCUCCAGUGCACAAAAUUGCUUUAGCCAUUAUGCUAUUACUGCGUGCAGCAUUCAUCUCGCUUUUUUGUUGAGCUUGAUCCGUAGGAUCAGUUCAUGAUCCCUUGUGUGCUAAUGCCAUAUCUUACAGAGCCAAACCCUGCGCAGGUCCUGAAAUUCGUGGCACACCAGCUUCAUCCGAAUCCGCCGUGGUAACAGACCCUGCCAAGCCAUCGUCCAUGGUCCACGUCCACAGAGGAAGCAGCACUGUACUAGAUUUCCUGAGGGAUCGGAUAUAGCCGCUCCGUCCGUACUCUUCGGAUGGAGAUAAGGCCUAUCCGUUCCCUUCCCCCACUUUGGCUAUAAUGUCUUCUCGGGUCGAGUCACCACCAUUGCCGCUUUUCGAGCGCUGGGCGACACGAAAGUUUAAAAGAUGCCCCAGCCCUCCCGGGAGCUAGUGUGCCCUUGUGCUAGAAGCGGGCCCCCCACCGCCUGACCUUCUGCAAUCACUGCCUGACGCCCGUCCAUUAUCCUGCGUCGAGAUCGUGUGUGUGAAAGAAAUAUUUAUACUUGUAGAUUUUGUUUGCCAUUAUCGGUACCAUAUAAUCAUGCACCGGUACAUGCAAUCAUCACACCACUUGCUGCGAACUUCUCGAUUAGUAUUUCUGCAGCGCCUUAUCGUUUUCAGCGAGAGUGCCAAUUGCCAAUUGCCACUCGAGUGCAAGCGGACAAGCAAUGUCGUCAGCACACAAAGCAAACAAGCCAACUCGCAGGGUAACACACAGACGCCCGCAAGAUUUGACACUGGCAAAUGUCAGGGGAAGCAAAAGUCGCAAGUGAGCUGUCACGGUCACUGGCGCGGAGCCUCCAGUCCUCACCAACCAACCUCCGGCUUCCAGCCUUCCACAAACCAAUGUGCCACACGGACUCGAGCCGCCAAGUGAAAACUAAGAAAGUAUGAACCGUGUCCAGUCCAGCCAUGUGGAUGGGCAGGAUGUCAGCUUCCGUGCUGGACCCGGGGUUCCUGCUUGGAUCAUUGGAUGCGCGGAGGCGGCAUUUCCUGCCCCAAUGGUCAAACGCGCGGCCUUCAGUUUAAUUAAUCUCCUGCUCCGCGGCUUCGCUUGUCUUUGAUUAAUCUCCUGUGCUCUCCACGUUUAUGGUCAGUUUGGUCAGGUUCACGGGGCUCCGGCUCUGUGAGAGGUAAGGAGAGGAAAGAGAUAAAACGGUUCGGCUGGACAAUUGCGCUACAGCACGACGGCUGCAAGAGGGAGGGAGAAAAAAUUGCUCGGGUGAAUAGCUACAGUACGACGGCUGCGAGAGGGAGGAAGAAAAAAUGGGAGUGACUAGUAAUACUACAGUACAUGAACAUGGAUCCGUCAGAAUGAGCGGGAGCCAGGCUCUUAGCCCCCUUUGGCACGGCUCUCCUACCGGCUCUUGUAGCAGCUUUUGCACAAGUUGUACCAAACGCCUCAAAUGAAAACGGAUUCAACCCGUGAGCCGCUGGCCAAAACAACUGGACGGGAUGAGCCGAAAAAAUGGCUACCCCAGCUUCUCCCCAUCCACGUACGUGAUUUUUCAUCCUUCUCCCCGACUGCUCUCCUCCCCGGCGCACGCGCGCCGCCGGCUGCCUCCCUGCGCCCCGUCGGCGGCCUCCUGCGCCGCGCCCCGCCACCUCGCCGCGCCCGCCAGGUGCAUGCGCUCACGCGGGGCCACGACGUGGGGGCAUGACCGCCGGGAGGGAGAGUCUGGGAGGGAGGAGAGAGGAGGGGUCGGUUGGGAUCGGAUAAGGAGAGAGGAGGGGCGGUCGGGAUAGGAUGAGGAGAGAGGAGGGGAAAAGAAAAGAGGGGGAAGGAAAGAGAAAUAAAAAAGGAAAGGAAAGAAAAAGGAAAUGAAGAGAAAAAAGAAAAAGAAAAGAGAGAGAAAAAAAAUAAGGGUAUUUUAGACAUUUGACAUCUUCUUUACAUUAUGAGAAGUUAUUUUGCUAAAUGUUUUCAUACAAAAUAAGUCAGAGCUAGAAAAAGCUGCUUUUCCAUAGGAGCCAGAGUCAAAGCUGAUUUUUCGCAAACCAAAGCCGUGCCACAAACGGGGCCUUAGUUUAAGCGCCGUACUAUAUGCCGUGUGCGUGGUCGACUCGUCGUCGUCCGUCGCGGGAGGAUAAGAUCCCGGCACCGAACGAAACAGUGCCCACGACCGGUUGGUGCGGCGGGUCUGAUCCGGUCGGGUGUCGUGGCGCGAUAAGAUAUGGGCGGGCGCUGCGCCCGCGCGCGCACGAGCAAUCAAUCAUUUGGGGUCUCGGGUUGGGUCCGGUAGUUGCGUAAUUGCGGGGCGCGCGCGUCACGCCCUGCCCUGCCCGGCUGCUGCCGCGUUCCGCCAGGCGGAGGCCACCUGCCAGGCGCCGGUGGCGGAGACCGGAGCCGAGUCAUCAACUCAUCUCAUCAUGUGGCCGAAAUCCC